GGCUCUGGCUCCGUGUCUUCACUCCCGUGUUUGUCCGAGGAGGGAGGGAGGGACGGGGGCGGUGCU
ensembl:miRNA Mir149 microRNA 149